rnacentral:rRNA from 1 species
UUGAGUAUCAUAAGUUGGAACUGUCAUGGGGUUGGCAAACCUACGACAGUUCGAGAGCUUUGUGAUCUAACGAAGUGUUUUGCCCCCUCUAUAUUAUGUAUUAGUGAAACUCAGAUAGAGGGCUCUAGAGUCAAAAGUAUGGUAGACUGUCUAGGUUUCAAUAAAAGCUUUGCAGUUAGUAGUGCUACUAGGAGUGGUGGUCUUGGUGUAUUUUGGAAAAUUCAAUAA